rnacentral:rRNA from 1 species
AGUCGAGCGGUAGCACAGGGGAGCUUGCUCCCUGGGUGACGAGCGGCGGACGGGUGAGUAAUGUCUGGGAAACUGCCUGAUGGAGGGGGAUAACUACUGGAAACGGUAGCUAAUACCGCGUAACGUCGCAAGACCAAAGAGGGGGACCUUCGGGCCUCUUGCCAUCAGAUGUGCCCAGAUGGGAUUAGCUAGUAGGUGGGGUAAUGGCUCACCUAGGCGACGAUCCCUAGCUGGUCUGAGAGGAUGACCAGCCACACUGGAACUGAGACACGGUCCAGACUCCUACGGGAGGCAGCAGUGGGGAAUAUUGCACAAUGGGCGCAAGCCUGAUGCAGCCAUGCCGCGUGUGUGAAGAAGGCCUUCGGGUUGUAAAGCACUUUCAGCGAGGAGGAAGGUGGUGAACUUAAUACGUUCAUCAAUUGACGUUACUCGCAGAAGAAGCACCGGCUAACUCCGUGCCAGCAGCCGCGGUAAUACGGAGGGUGCAAGCGUUAAUCGGAAUUACUGGGCGUAAAGCGCACGCAGGCGGUUUGUUAAGUCAGAUGUGAAAUCCCCGGGCUCAACCUGGGAACUGCAUUUGAAACUGGCAAGCUAGAGUCUCGUAGAGGGGGGUAGAAUUCCAGGUGUAGCGGUGAAAUGCGUAGAGAUCUGGAGGAAUACCGGUGGCGAAGGCGGCCCCUUGACGAAGACUGACGCUCAGUGCGAAAGCGUGGGAGCAAACAGGAUUAGAUACUCUGGUAGUCCACGCUGUAAACGAUGUCGAUUAGGAGGUUG